rnacentral:rRNA from 1 species
GACGAACGCUGGCGGCGUGCCUAAUACAUGCAAGUUGAGCGCUGAAGGUUGGUACUUGUACCAACUGGAUGAGCAGCGAACGGGUGAGUAACGCGUGGGGAAUCUGCCUUUGAGCAGGGGACAACAUUUGGAAACGAAUGCUAAUACCGCAUAAAAACUUUAAACACAAGUUUUAAGUUUGAAAGAUGCAAUUGCAUCACUCAAAGAUGAUCCCGCGUUGUAUUAGCUAGUUGGUGAGGUAAAGGCUCACCAAGGCGAUGAUACAUAGCCGACCUGAGAGGGUGAUCGGCCACAAUGGGACUGAGACACGGCCCAAACCCCUACGGGAGGCAGCAGUAGGGAAUCUUCGGCAAUGGACGAAAGUCUGACCGAGCAACGCCGCGGGAGUGAAGAAGGUUUUCGGAUCGUAAAACUCUGUUGGUAGAGAAGAACGUUGGUGAGAGUGGAAAGCUCACCAAGUGACGGUAACUACCCAGAAAGGGACGGCUAACUACGUG